UACGGAGGGUCCAAGCGUUAUCCGGAAUCAUUGGGUUUAAAGGGUCCGUAGGCGGUCUUGUAAGUCAGUGGUGAAGGCCCAUCGCUCAACGGUGGAACGGCCAUUGAUACUGCAAGACUUGAAUUAUUGGGAAGCAACUAGAAUAUGUAGUGUAGCGGUGAAAUGCUUAGAUAUUACAUGGAAUACCAAUUGCGAAGGCAGGUUGCUACCAAUACAUUGACGCUGAUGGACGAAAGCGUGGGGAGCGAACAGG
rnacentral:rRNA from 1 species